UUAACACAAGUCAAGUAGAUCCAUAUUCAGAUCCCAUCUCUUACAUGGAUUGGACCAUGUUGGACCAUGGCCAGCUAGCUUCUCCGUACCUCAGACAGCUCUGUAAUACUGAUCUAAUAGGCUGUCCAGGAUGGAUUGUCAUUUGCAACAGUGCUCUAUGGAUCCAUAAUACUUUGCACACCAGAUACUAGUUAAUAAAUGUUUGUUGAAUUAAAUUGUUGGAGUUUGACUAUCAGGGGAAUAUUUUUUUUUUUGGUCACAGGGAAUCACAGAUCCACCUAGUAAGGUGGAAAGGAUUUCAUCUGCAUUGGUGGAAACAGUGGCUAUGUGGAUGAAAUUAUGUAUCUUUGAAAGCUAGAAAUUAAUUUCUGAAUACAUCCCUCCAAAUUGAACCCUCCCUUGUCUGUGAUAAAGAAAAAUUGGCUAUCUCAUUUCUCAUGAAGCCGGAGGAAUGGACUCAAAGGGAGAACCUGGCAAGGAGAUCGUUUCAUGAUUGAUGUCAACCACAGGCACAAAGAUAUGGUCAUCAGACACAGAUUUCUCUCCAGUUACAUGGUCAUUUAUAUUUUUCUUCUUGUUAUGCUUAUUUCACCAUGCAUCAAUUCAUACAGAUGUUCACCUUUUCUCUGAAAUUCUCAUAUUCACCAUUUCUAACUGACCAAUAAUAUUCCAUUAUAUUAACAUGUCAGUUUGUUCAGUCAUUCUCAAGUCAAUAGGCAACUUGCUUUUCCCCCCCAAGUACUUAGUUCUCACAAAAGUAUAGCUCCAAAUAUAUUGUUUUCUGUUGAACUCUUCUUUCUGUUUUUUUGUUUUUUAGCCUCUUUGGGGCAUAUACUCAAUAGUGAGAUUACGAGGUCAAAGGAUAUGAAUAAUUUAGUCACUCCAAAUUUUCCUCUAGAAUGGAAAUUCGCAGUUCUACCAAUAAUGUAUUAGUGUUCAUAUCAUCUUAUAAAAGACUCCAGCAUGAAUCAUUUCCAAUUUUUUGUUAUCUUUGCCAAUAUGAGGAAUGUUAGGUGAAAUAUUAGAAUUGUUUUAAUUUGCAUCUCUCUCUCUCUUUUAGAGAUUAGGAGCAUUUUUUAAAAAAUAAGACCAUCAAUAGUUUGCAGUCCUUCCUUUGAAAACUUUUCAUAACUUUUGAUCACAUAUAUGGUGAAUGGCACCCUAAUUUGAUGCUAAUACUUUCUUAAAGAGAGGUACUACGUCUUUGACUUUCUACAUUCCCAUAAUGGGGAAAGCAUUGCACUGUACCUAGUAGGUUCUAAAAUCUAGUUUUAAUUGACUGACUCAAUACAUGAAGAAACCUAAGAAAUUAUGUGCCCAAAUGACUUUCAAAGGAUUGCCUGAUGUAUUAAUUUCAGGUAAAGCCUUGAGCUUUCUGUCUCGAGAUGAACAAAAAUUAUAAGGUAUUUUUUGUGAUAAAGAUAUGCAAAUGUUAAAUAUUGGAUAGGGUGAAAAAAAAGUAGCAAAAGCAGAUAGGAAGUUGCAAAGAAAAUAAUUCAAGGAGAAAUCCAUUCAGCGAGGUCUGGUCUAACAACUGAAAACUCUGUGCUAUUUUUGGAAUAAGGAUUCUUUUCCAUCAUAAACACUGUGAUUAUUUAAACCUGCUGUGAUUUUUUUGGCGUUUUUUGCUUUUGUGACAACUGCUUUUGACAAUUUUGUUUUCUUUUAAAGCGAUUAUUUUGUAAUGCUAUUUUGGGGAAGCUAUAGGAGCAGGGAGUGGUAUACCCUUAGUAUACCCUACUAAGUAUGUAAUAAUGAUAUCCAAAUCUGGCCUCAGGCACUUACUAGCUAUAUGACCCUGGGCAAGUCACUUAA